rnacentral:rRNA from 1 species
CAGUAGCCGCGGGAAUACGAAGGGGGCUAGCGUUGCUCGGAAUGACUGGGCGUAAAGGGCGCGUAGGCGAUUCGUGCAGUCAGAUGUGAAAUUCCUGGGCUUAACCUGGGGGCUGCAUUUGAUACUUGCGGGCUUGAGUGGGGAAGAGGGUCGUGGAAUUCCCAGUGUAGAGGUGAAAUUCGUAGAUAUCGGGAAGAACACCGGUGGCGAAGGCGGCGACCUGGUCUUUGACUGACGCUGAGGCGCGAAAGCGUGGGGAGCAAACAGGAUUAGAUACCCCAGUAGUCCCUGUCUCUUAUAC